ensembl:lncRNA
UCAGGAGACAGGUGAUUCAGGAGACAGGUGAGUCAGGAGAGAGGUGAGUCAGGAGAGAGGUGAUUCAGGAGACGGGUGAUUCAGGAGACGGGUGAUUCAGGAGACGGGUGAUUCAGGAGACAGAGCAGAAGUAAAAACACAACCAACACACGAGGAAAGGCGAUUUCUGAGUAAAACAGGAAAUAACUGAAAAGGGGUACAAAGCAAAAAGGAAUAUAAAACAAUAAAAAAACAUAAACCUGAUAAGCUGACUGUUUUUAGGACAAGGAAAAGCUCCAAAUGUUAUCUGCUGAAUGGCUGGAAUGGUGAAAUGUUGGGAUUUUUGCCUGGUAAAUGAUUGAAACCUUUAAUUUAUACAGC